CCAGAGCUCACUGGUUCAUGCUAUGGCUUCAUCUAUGGCAAAGCAGACUGAGAAAUAAGGCCUAGAAUGUGCCCAGGAAGACAAGCUCCAUGAAAGUAAGGACCUACUCUGCUGAAAAGUGACAUUUGUCUUUGAUCUAUAGGAAAAUGAGUUCACCUGAGGAGAAAGAUCCAUAAGUGGGGAACUGAGACAAGCAUGAGCCCAAGACAAUGGAGUUAUGGACAAAUAAUGAUUCAACUCCUCAGGACAGACAAGUGCUAUAGACUGGUUGUUCCUGACCCCUUACAGAUUAAUGGGCAUUGAAGAAACAACAGGUG